rnacentral:rRNA from 1 species
UACGGAGGGUGCUAGCGUUGUUCGGAAUUACUGGGCGUAAAGCGCGCGUAGGCGGACCUGCAAGUCGGGGGUGAAAGCCCGAGGCUCAACCUCGGAACUGCCUUCGAUACUGCGGGUCUCGAGUCCGGGAGAGGUGAGUGGAAUUCCUAGUGUAGAGGUGAAAUUCGUAGAUAUUAGGAAGAACACCAGUGGCGAAGGCGGCUCACUGGACCGUUACUGACGCUGAGGCGCGAAAGCGUGGGGAGCGAACAGG